rnacentral:ncRNA from 13 species
AUUUAACAUCAAGAGUAGGGCUGACGUCCUCACCAACCUGCCAACCUGGGCAAGGUGGUUGCUAUAAAGCGAUGUGGUCGAUUCCGACAACGAAUCAGGUAGAC